rfam:Candidatus Levybacteria bacterium RIFCSPHIGHO2_01_FTLL_37_17 rifcsphigho2_01_scaffold_964, whole genome shotgun sequence.
CGGGGUGUAGUGAAUCGGUAUCACGCAUCGUUCGGGACGAUGAGACACUGGGUUCAAUUCCCAGCACCCCGA